rnacentral:rRNA from 1 species
GAUGAACGCUGGCGGCGUGCCUAAUACAUGCAAGUCGAGCGAACAGACGAGGAGCUUGCUCCUCUGACGUUAGCGGCGGACGGGUGAGUAACACGUGGAUAACCUACCUAUAAGACUGGGAUAACUUCGGGAAACCGGAGCUAAUACCGGAUAAUAUAUUGAACCGCAUGGUUCAAUAGUGAAAGACGGUUUUGCUGUCACUUAUAGAUGGAUCCGCGCCGCAUUAGCUAGUUGGUAAGGUAACGGCUUACCAAGGCGACGAUGCGUAGCCGACCUGAGAGGGUGAUCGGCCACACUGGAACUGAGACACGGUCCAGACUCCGACGGGAGGCAGCAGUAGGGAAUCUUCCGCAAUGGGCGAAAGCCUGACGGAGCAACGCCGCGUGAGUGAUGAAGGUCUUCGGAUCGUAAAACGCUGUUAUUAGGGAAGAACAAAUGUGUAAGUAACUAUGCACGUCUUGACGGUACCUAAUCAGAAAGCCACGGCGAACUACGU